CCGCCCAAGGAGGGGCUCGCGUCUGAGUAGCUAGUUGGUGAGGCAAUAGCUUACCAAGGCGAUGAUCAGUAGCUGGUCCGAGAGGAUGAUCAGCCACACUGGGACUGAGACACGGCCCAGACUCCUACGGGAGGCAGCAGUGGGGAAUUUUCCGCAAUUGGCGAAAGCCUGACGGAGCAAUGCCGCGUGGAGGUGGAAGGCCUACGGGUCGUCAACUUCUUUUCUCGGAGAAGAAACAAUGACGGUAUCUGAGGAAUAAGCAUCGGCUAACUCUGUGCCAGCAGCCGCGGUAAGACAG
rnacentral:ncRNA from 1 species